rnacentral:rRNA from 1 species
UUGCCCUAGUAACGGCGAGUGAAGCGGCAACAGCUCAAAUUUGAAAUCUGGCCUUCUUUGGGGGUCCGAGUUGUAAUUUGCAGAGGGUGCUUUGGUGUUGACAGCGGUCUAAGUUCCUUGGAACAGGACGUCACAGAGGGUGAGAAUCCCGUACGUGGUCGCUUGCCUCCGCCGUGUAAAGCCCCUUCGACGAGUCGAGUUGUUUGGGAAUGCAGCUCUAAAUGGGAGGUAAAUUUCUUCUAAAGCUAAAUACUGGCCAGAGACCGAUAGCGCACAAGUAGAGUGAUCGAAAGAUGAAAAGCACUUUGGAAAGAGAGUCAAACAGCACGUGAAAUUGUUGAAAGGGAAGCGCUUGCAGCCAGACUUGCCCGUAGUUGCUCACCCGGACUUUUGCCCGGGGCACUCUUCUGCGGGCAGGCCAGCAUCAGUUUGGGCGACCGGAUAACGGCCUCUGUCAUGUAUCUUCCUUCGGGAUGACCUUAUAGGGGAGGCGUAAUGCGGCCAGCCCGGACUGAGGUCCGCGCUUCGGCUAGGAUGCUGGCGUAAUGGCUGUAAGCGGCCCGUCUUGAAACACGGACCAAGGAGUCUAACAUCUAUGCGAGUGUUUGGGUGUCAAGCCCGGGCGCGUAAUGAAAGUGAACGGAGGUGGGAACCCUUUCGGGGGCGCACCAUCGACCGAUCCUGAUGUCUUCGGAUGGAUUUGAGUAAGAGCAUAGCUGUUGGGACCCGAAAGAUGGUGAACUAUGCUUGAAUAGGGUGAAGCCAGAGGAAACUCUGGUGGAGGCUCGCAGCGGUUCUGACGUGCAAAUCGAUCGUCAAAUUUGGGCAUAGGGGCGAAAGACUAAUCGAACUAUC